rnacentral:rRNA from 1 species
GUAAACAAAGGGAAGCGAAGUGGUGACGCGGAGCGAACCCCAAAAAUAACGUCCCAGUUCGGAUUGCAGUCUGCAACUCGACUGCAUGAAGCUGGAAUCGCUAGUAAUCGCGGAUCAGAAUGCCGCGGUGAAUACGUUCCCGGGCCUUGUACACACCGCCCGUCAAGCCAUGGGAGCCGGGGGUGCCUGAAGUACGCGACCGCAAGGAGCGUCCUAAGGUAAAACCGGUGACUGGGGCUAAGUCGUAACAAGGUAGC